UGUAGCCGGCAGGCCGUUUAUUCGUCGCUUGAUCAAUGCUACUUGUGGUUUCACAAAAUCAUUCCAUCAAAUACAGAUCAAUAAAGAAAUCCGCCUUAACCUACAAAUGUGGUUAAAUUUCGUUCAAAAUUAUAACGGGAUUUCAGUGUUUCACGACCUCUUUUGGGUCACUAAUGAGGACGUUCAGUUGUUUACGGAUAGCGCUGGGGGCCAAGACAGGGGUUUUGGAAUAUAUUUCCACAGCCAAUGGUGUAAUGCUGAGUGGCCGGAAUCAUGCCACACAUCGGGAAUAACAUCUGAUAUUACGGUUUUGGAAUUAUUUCCCAUUCUUGUAGCAUUAUUUAUUUGGGUCACUGACUUAAAAAAUUAAUUGUGACAAUAUUUCGGUAGUUCAUAUUUUGAACAAAUUGUCAUCAAAAUCCGAACGUAUCAUGUGUUUAUUUAAAUUUCUCACAUUGAGGUGUUUGCAGUUAAACAUCAUUGUCAAGGCAAAUCAUAUUCAAGGUCGUUCAAAUAUCGUUUGCGACGCAUUAUCUCGGUUUCAGUGGGACAGAUUCAGACAGGUCGCUCCAGAAGCAGACACAGCCCCUCGCCAGAUACCUUCCUUUCUUUGGAAUAUCUUCAAUUUAGAGCCGGGCAGUAACAGCCCUGAACUCCCUCUCAAACUACAACGUAGCGCUAAACGUAUUUAGGCAAUUCAGACAAAUUUACAAAUUAGGCGAUUUUUGGCCAACCCCAAUUAAACACAUAGUUGUUUUUAUUUCUCAUUGUUCUGAGAAAGGACUUUUACCGAAAAGCAUUUCAACCUAUAUUUCUGGUUUGAAUUACUAUCACAAACUGCACGGUUAUCACGUCAUCACUAGUAAUUUUGUUAUAAAGAAAAUACUUGAGGGUUGCCAUAGGAAACGUAUUUCUAGGGACAAAAGAGCACCGCUGACUUGGAAUGUAUUAGUUGUAGUGUGCUCGGUUUUAACACAGGUCGCAAUUAAUCAUUAUGAGUCAGUUCUAUUUCUAUAGGUCGCAUAGCUUUCGAAUAGGCAGAGCAACUGAUUUAGCGCAGGAGGGUCUUUCGGCUGAAGUAAUAAGUCAUUAGGUCACUGGUCUUCAAAGUCUUAUAGAAUUUAUAUUCGUAAUUAGCUUUCUUUUCAAUAUUUAGUGCCCACUUUUGCUGAUGUCAGCAAUUAGCCAAGAGUUUAUAAUUUAAAUUUUACUACACUUAGACUAUAUUAGAGAUGUACUGGACGAAAACUUACAGCAAUAGUGUUAGUAGUUUAAGCCCUUUGGAUGUAAAGCGUAAUACUACUGCUACAAAAGUCUGCUGAGCUGGAAAUGUGAGACUAUUACAUGAAGGAAAAAUUAUGCACAAUGUUCUUUAAGAAUUUUUGGGGUAUAAAUUUCUAGAAAUUUAUUGUGGCGUAAAAAUUCUGUCGGUCGAGGGUUGAACACGCGAGCCAGCAAAAUUCACUGCUUAUACACAAAAUUAUUCUAUUAUUUGAUAUUGUAUGGUAUCUGUCUGUCGAAUUUUCUCCUAAAUCGAUGUUGGGGCCUUGGCCUCAUUCCCGUCGGUUUGGGGGCCUAUUCGACUGACGUAUUUAUAGUAAUAAUAAACAGCGUAAUUUGAAUCGCGGUUAGAUAAAUUCUGAUAGUAAGCCUGCAAUUCUGUUUGCGUUUCUAGGUUUUGCCCAAGUGAUCUGGCAAUCCUAGCUUGCUUAGUUUACUGUUGCGCUUGCCAUAUUUGCCUAGUUUGCGUAGUUUAUUGUUGCACUUGCCAAGUUUUUUACUUGAUUGGUUUCAAGUAAAUUUGCGUCUUUGCCCGUGGAUUCCAAUGAUAGCUUGCCUUAUUCGCAACAGGUUUUGCCAUUUGCUCAUUUUGCUAUUCAUGUCGGACAGUUGCUUCGGCACUCCCUGUCAUAAUAUUGCAGGCUUGGACAGUUGCUUCGGCACUCCCUGUCAUAAUAUCUCAUUCAGGCUCGCUGGUUCUUCUCGACCGACUGUGUUUGGACAGUUGCUCCGGCACACCCUGUCCAAACAUUAAGUGGCCUUAAACCUCCAAACUUACCAUAAUAAUGUUAUUAUAGUUACUUGUUACCCCUUGUGAUAAAUGUCAUAUGAUGUAAUGUUUUACAUGAUUCUUAUUGAAUAAUAAUGAUAAACCGUUAAGUAUUUUGUUUUAUUUACUUUCGAAUGAUAAAAUAAAACAAACUUGUGACGACAAUGACAUUUAACACUAUUCGAUUAUUUUAUCAAAGGGAAGUAACUCAGUAUACAAUUAUCACUCAUUUUAAUAAAAUCCAAAUUAAACCACUUUAAAAUUGUCAAAUUUCUUCAAAAUUUCGUCUGUUAAUAUAUAUUAUUAUAUGUUAUCAGAAUAUAUUAACUUAAAUUCCAAAACAGUAAUACUUUUAGAAAUAUAAGUCGUUUUCGGUAAUCAAAACUGGUUUUCGGUAGUUUUCGGUAAUGGAGUAGUUUUCGGUAUUCCCAAGUACCCGAAAGCAAGUUAUGCAGCAAUACAGUUAAUGCAUACAAAAUUCUUUAUCAGAUAUUGUUGUCGAGCCCGCUUGCCGAAGUGAAGACAUAGUUGUCAAAAUGGCUGUUUGGUGUAUGUGUGUGUCCGUCUGUGUGUCCUUCCAUCCGGAUUAGCUUGUCCAGACCAUAACUUUGACAUGCAUGGAGAAAUCUUGUUUAUAUUUGGUCUGAAUGUUAACGUCAGUGAGACGGAGUGUCAUGCGAACACCCUAGGUUCCUAUCUCAAAGGUUUUGGUCACAGUUUGAGGUCAAAGGUAAUGUAAGAUCAUGUUUGGCCAAUAACUUUGACUUGCAUUGAGGAAUCUUAUUUAUAUUUGGCAUGAAUGUUUAACUCAAUGAGAUGGAGUGUCAUGUGCAAACCCGAGGUUCCUCUCUCAAAGGUCAAGGUUACAAGGUCAAAGGGUAGACUCGACAUGUUGCCUGUAGGCAUCUAGUUUAAUUUUGCAUGUAUUUAUUUUCUAGCUUGCAAGAGAGGAUGUUCAGUUGAAGAGUAGUGUGCCCCAUGUAGUUGUUGGUAACCAGAUCAUUACAAAUUUAGAUAUUCCCCAGUGUUCAGUUGUCUAUAGUUUUGUGCCAUUCCAAAGGGAAAGGUGACAAAAAGUCACCUGCUCAGCCUAAUAAAGUGGAGCAUAAUCAUGUUUAGAGCAUUCCCUACAUCAGCUGUUACGAGAAGUACAUCACAAAACGUUACAUCUUGACUCUCCACAUCCUGUUACAGCAACCUUUGGUAUGAGCAAGAGACGUCGAUUGGCUGGUCCAUCUAGAAUGUCUCGAUCAGAUCUUAAAGAAAUGGCAGAAAAAACAAUGACCACUACAGACAGACUGGCAACAAAUAUAGCAGAUUCACAGAUAAAAGGCCCACUGGAGUUGUCUUAACAGUCCACUGCAGUCAAAUGUGAAAAUUAUCAUCACAUCAAAUGGGUUAACAUGGCAGUCCUUUGACCUGGAGAUAGGUACAGACAGUAUCAAGGUAGUAACCAAGGAUAGAAGGACAUUGUCUCUAACAGGUAGAGGAUCUCAUCAGGUUGCAGGUUUCACAACAUCACAUUAUCACAGAAACUAGCGAGACUGAUGGGCUGGCAGAUACUCAGCUAUAAUGGUUGUAGUGGUGUUGGGGAAAUGGAAGAUUUUGCAACAGCUUCUUCUAUACAGCUAGUCGCCCCAAACAAUGACAGAAUGUUGUCUGUAAGAAGUGGACCAACAACAGGACUUCAUGUGUAUCUAAAAAUAGAUGAUAAGGAUAGCAUUGAUCCUAGUAUGGCAGCAUUAGUGGACCCUAAAUGGCUGAAUCUCAGUGGAACUUUCAAAGAAAUUGAUAUGGAACAAAUUGAUGGAAGAAAUUUAGCAACAAAACUGGAACUUAUUUUGGCUAUAGUGAAUAAAAAGAGAUGACCAGCUGUAGUUACUGAUGUUCAAUUUGGUGCAAUUAAGUGAAGUGCUUUAAAGAGAUAAUUUUUGUCAUAAAGUAGUGGGUAUAAUUUGCACACCAAAAACAUUGUGUGAAAUACAGCCUUUCAGCUUAUGAAGAGAAAGAUUGAUGUACAGCAGUAUUCAGCAUUUCCAAUAUUGUAAGGAAAUAAACCUGCAAAGCUGUUAUAAGCAGUCUAGAUAUGUUCUGUGUGCAAGAAAUGGCAUUCUGGCUAGCGCAAUAGACAUUUAUAAUUUUGAAUGAGAAUUGUUCUUUCUGUAACUGUUUAAUCCAUACACUUUUUGCCUCUGUGCUUUGCUUUACUCCAGUAGUUCAUGUGAAAUUAACAAGAGAGAACAAAUGCAUAUAAGAAAUCUGUUGCUUGUCCCCAUUUCAGGUGUAUAUGGGGUGGAAUAUAAUAUAUGCUGAGCCAAACCAUGGAAACUUGAACAUAGGGGGAAAUUAUUAGAUGGAAACCAUUUUUAGCUCGGCUUUUUGAAGAAAAAGUAGAGCUAUUGCACUCGCCCCGCCGUCGCUGUUGGUUAAAGUUUUUGAUAAAGUCAGAUAUGUAUGUUACUAUCAAAGCAGCUUAGCUAUUGACUUGAAACUUAAAAUUUUAUUUACUAUCAAAGUCUGCACCAGGAGAAACAAUCCUCAUAACUCUGAUUUGAAUUUUGAAAGAGUCAUGCCCCUUUUUAUCUUACAAUUUUUUGGUUAAAGUCUUUGAUUAAGUCAGAUAUCUCUCUUACUAUCAAAGCUUUUGACCUGAAACUUAAAAUACUUACUACACCAGGAGAAACAAUGCCAUAACUCUGAUUUGAAUUUUUACAAUAGUUAUGCCCCUUUUUAACUUAGAUUUUUUGGUUAAAGUUUUUACUGGCAAAGCUCUAAUUCUGGGUCAAGCACUGAGAAAAGUCAAACGUGCUUUCUUACGGGCAGCUCUCAUUCUACUGUACUGUCACAAAUGCAAUGUGUAUGUUGACUUUUAAAUGUUUCUUUACAUAAAUGUCUGUGAGAGUAAAAAAGAGCAUGCUUACAUUUCUGCCUUAACUUUUCUUAACCAGGAACUUCUGACAAACAUAGGAACACUCUAAACACACUUGCCUGGUAAGGACAGUAUAUUAUAAUAGAGGAUAUAGAUUUUUUAGUUUCAUUGUGGUAGGACUGAUUUUCAAUAAAUGAACAGCAGAUGUAAUAUUUAUUUGAUUAAAUGUAUAAUUUGCUAUUUAUCAAUGAAAGAUAAUUGAUUUUUGCAUGUUAAAAGAAAUGAAUUUUUGUUAUAGCUCACCAGAGCAUAAAGUACUUAGAAUGAGCUAUUGUGAUCACUCGCUGAUCAUUGGUUUUCGAUCUUUACUUUUCUUGAAGAAAAUAAAACAUCUCUUUUGAAACUGAUAGGUGAAAGUUUAUGAAACUUGGAUGUUCCUUGGACAGUCCUCUACCAAAGUUAUUGAAAGAAUUUUAUUAUAUGCAGAAAGGAAAUCUUCUUCACAGAAACCACUUGCCGGAUUUCAACAUUAUUUGAAAGAAAUAUGACUUGCCUGUCUCCUUAGUAAGUUUGUUCAAAUUAUUCCAGUUUGUCAAAACAAAUUGUCUGCCAGUUGGCAUGGUCACUUUUCCCUAUACGUAUAUAUCUGGAACUUUGAAAAUCUUCUUGUCAGAAACUGCCUGUCAGAAAUUUUUAUAUGCUUUUGCGGAUCUCCGAGAUGAAAGGAACGCCAUAUUGAAACCAUCUAGAAAUUGUGGCAGAAAUCUGUCCUGCUACAAUUUCAUCAUAUAGAUGCCAUGGACUCGCCUUUUACUUUAAAAUAUUUUAAAUCCAGUUUUCUUUUGAUCUGAUAUAAAAUAAACCAUGUAACACAAUCUUAAGACAAGCUAUACACAAGUUUCAAAUGGGUACAGCUAUUAGCAAUAUUUUGCCAACAAUGGCAGUAGUGACAUGAUUAAGAUACUUUUAAUUUUGAAAACAAAUAGGCAGUAUAUAAUCAUUAUUUAUUGACCUUUUUUGUGAAUUUAAACAUUCUAAGGUAUGAUUUUCCUGAACUUAGUUGAAAAUGGUUAUUUUUACAUUUGAACUAAAUUCAUAAGUCUACAAAACGUUCAUCUUGAUAUUCACAAAUAUUCAUGUGCUAUGAACCUUGUGUAACAUUGUCAGUUUCUCGUGAGUUUGUGCUGAGAUUAUUAUGGUUUGACACUGGUUAGGAAAACAAAUGGGGUUACGCCAUAACUGAAUGAACGGGACCAUCACAAAAUGAAAAUAACAUCAGUUAUGUUAUGAUAGCCAGAACUACCUGAUUUCAUAAUAAUUUCACAAAUUAAAAAUUCCUUGUUUGACUCUGUACCAAGAUUAUUCAAAUCUGUCAAGAUUCGACAAAAACAUGGCUGCCAGCAUUCAUGGUUACUUUUACUUAUGAGCAUAUAGUGGGCACUUGAGCACUUUUAGAACUAGAAAUAGAUAUACCCUUUAACAGUCUCAUUAAUUUCUUUAUGUAUCUUUAUCAAACUUGGUCUGUAGGAUCAUUAUAAGGUCCUCUCACAAAUUUGUUCAAAUGGGGCCACUAAGCCCCUUUUACUGCCUGCUAGAGCUAAAAAUAGAAAAAAAAUGUCAAACUAGAAACAUAUCUCCAAGCUUUCAAUUGUUCAAAACACAAAUGGAAAUGCUAUUGAAACUUGAACAUUUUAACGACACGUUGGUCAUAUUCGACCAUAUUUGACAACUGAAGCCACAAAAACCCUGAUAAACUCGCUUGUGACCUGCUGAUUAGAUUACAGCAAUGCUCUAUUGUACGGCGUGCCAAAAUCAACAACGAGCAAACUGGAAAAUGUCCAAAACACAGCUGCACGUCUUAUUACGAAAACAACCCGUUUUGAACAUAUAACACCAAUCCUUAAAGAUCUUCAUUGGCUUCAAAUACAAGAUAGAAUCAAAUACAAAAUUCUCAUUCAAACAUUCAAGGCCUUGCAUGAACAGUCGCCGGUGUAUAUGAGAGACUUACUGGAGGUGUAUGUGCCAACUAGAAAUCUGAGGUCAGCAAAUGCAGCAACAACCCUUGUGCCACAAAAAAGUCGACUGGUUACCUACGGGGAUAGAAGUUUCAGGGUUGCCACCGCAAAACUAUGGAACUCUCUCCCUGACAAUCUCUGAAAAGUUUCAUCACUUAAUUCAUUCAAAAGAGCUCUCAAAACACACCUCAAAAUUUUCUACAACACAUAGAUACCAACUGUGACUGUUUCUACUCGUAUUAAAUAUGCCAUUGUUAUUUUUGUAAUACAGAAAUACAGCAAGUCAUUCGUCGCUGACGAAGGUCUCUUAACUGUACAAUUCAUCAUGUAAUUAACUAAAUUGACAAUCCAUCUUUUAUUUCAUCAUGUCACAUUUUAAGGGUUAUGACGUUCUAUGUGUGUGUUUUUCGCAAGACUUGAGUUUCACUUGAAAUGUGUGGUAUUUCUAUCUAAAACAGUACAUGAUGGCACCAUUUACCGGGAGGUUGAACCACUAUAUGCAGCCCGUCUGGGCGUACCAGAUGUUUAAAGCACUGGUAUUGGCAACAGGGGUAAAACGACCUCAGGGGUGCGGGGUGCGGUCAUGGCUGUUUGUUACAAUAAGGCUGUAAAUAUUAUCAUUGUUCAUUUAUGAUAUUGUUGUAAUAACUAUUAUUUUUUAUUAUUAUGUACAACGCCAUUGAAAAUAUCAUUUAUAAAAAAGGCGUUUAAUCAAAUUGUUCAGUUUCAGUUUUGUGAUUGCAUAUGUCAUGUUUUGUUAUUUUCCUACAUAUCUGCGAUGUGUCACAUGUUUAAUUGUAAAGCGCCUUUGAACGUAUAUUACAUAUGAAAAGGGCGCUCAACAAAUCUGGUAUAAUAAUAAUAAUAAUUAACGCUAAAAAAGAAAACAAAUUCAAUGUGAAAUGGAGUGAUUGUUUAUCUCUGCUUUCACUAGACAACUAAUCUUUCUUUUGUACAGCUCGUUUCUGAAUCUCCCCAGUGCUGCACCACCAACCCCUACUUUGUUUCUGUCCCUUCUCCCCCUUUUUUUUUCUCAAGCUUUUUUGCAUAGCCUCUCAUGCCGAUCUGGUAUCUUUUAUUUUUGUUCUUUAUUAAGGUUAUAAGAAGUAGGUAUUACACACAAGAAAGAUGAAUAACUGUGUUUUGAUUAGCUUAUUAUGCUUGUAGGAAUUAUUUCCCUUCAUUUAGCUCAAUAGUGGUUAUUAUACUAUGGUAUUGCUUUGACCCUUGUUUUUGUUUAACACAAUUGGUUCUCCCUUUGAGACCAGUGUAGAUCUUGAUUGGCCUGCAGUCUGAUCAAGAUCUUUGCUGUUGUUUUUUUUGCCUAUUGGUCAGUAUCUUUUAGUAAACAUCUUUUAAUCUCUCGAUAGUACUGUCCGAAUUGAAGGACAGACAAAUUCUUUAAAGAAAUCUAACAUGGCAAGGGUCAGGGCUUUAUACAAGUUUUAGAUAAUACAAUUUUUUCAAAUAACUCGGUAUGUAAUCACCUACUUAUAGAAUAUUUCAUAUACUAUAUGCUGUAACCUACUUUUGACAAAUAAAAAAAAAAUAGAAAAUAGAAAAAAAACAUUAAACAGUCUUCAUCAAACUUUGUCAGUCUUUUAUGGACCAUAAGAGUUAAAAGUUAAGAUAUCUUUAAAAUACUUUCUCCCAUAAACUAUCUUGCAGAUCUUUAUUAAACUUGGUCCUUAUUAGGCAUUUUUAUUGCUACUCAAAGGGGGAGCAUAUAGUUGCAGCUUUGUCCGUCUGUUCAUCCGUCACAUUUUUGUCCAGAGUAUUACUUGAAAAGCAUAAAUGGCAUUUGAUUGAAACUUCACAUAAUGAUAGAGGCCAUUAAGACAAAGUGCAGUGUCAAAGAACCAUAACUACCUUACUUAGUUUGAAUUAUCUCCCUUUAUCAUACAAAAUAAGGCUUGUCCGGAGCAUUACUUGAAAAGUAUUAAUGGCAUUUCAUUGAAACUUCACAAAAUGAUUGAGUCCAUUGACAGAAAGUGCAGUGUCAAAAACCAUAACUCUACUUUAAAAAAAUUUUUAGCUCACCUGUCACAUAGUGACAAGGUGAGCUUUUGUGAUCACCUUUCGUCCGUCAUCAGUCCGUCCGUGCGUCAACAAUUUCUUGUCUGCACGAUAGAGGUUUCAUUUAUGAUUUUAUUAUGCCCCCCUUCGAAGAAGGAGGGGUAUAUUGUUUUGCAGAUGACGGUCGGUUGGUCGGUCGGUCGGAAUGUAGACCAAUCCAUUUCCAGCAGAUGACCCCAAUUGAUUUUGAGGUCAGUAUGUAAAAGGUCAAGGUCACAGUGACCCUGAACAGUUGAACGGUUUCCGGAUGAUAACUCAAGAACGCUUAGGCCUAGGGUUCUGAAAGUUGAUAGGGAGGUUGGUCAUAACCAGCAGAUGACCCCUAUUGAUUUUGAAGUCAGUAUGUCAAAGGUCAAGGUCACAGAGACCAGGAACAGUAAAAUGGUUUCCGGGCAAUAACUCAAGAAUGCUUGGGCCUAGUGUCAGGAAAAUUGAUAGUGAUGUUGGUCAUGACCAGCAGAUGACUCCUAUUGAUUUUGAGGUCAUUAGGUCAAAGGUCAAGGUCACAUUGGCCAGGAACAAUUAAACGGUUUCUGAUCUUCUUGUCCAAAAACACAGGGCCUAGGGCUUUGAUAUUUGGUAUGUAGCAAAAUCUAGUGGUCCUCUACCAAGACUGUUCAGAUUAUUUCCCUGGGGUCAAAUAUGCCCCCCCCCCGGGGGUCACAUGGUUUAUAUAGACUUGUGCAGGAAAAAACUUUGAAAAACCUCUUGUCCAAAACCACAGGGCCUAGGGCUUUGAUAUUUUGUAUAUGACAUCAUCUAGUGGUCCUCUGCUAAGAUUGUUCAAAUUAUUCCCCUAGGGUCAAAUAUGGCUCUUCUGGGGGUCACAAGGUUUACAUAGACUUAAUAUAUAGGGAAAAACUUUGAAAAUCUUCUUGUCCAAACCACAAGGGCUAGGGUUUUGAUAUUUGUAAUGUAGCAUCAUCUAGUGGUUCUCUACCAAGUUUGUUCAAAUUAUCCCUCUAGGGUGGAGUCACAUGGUUCAUAUAGACUUAUACAAUGUAACUUCCGAAAACCGGACCUUCUGAAAACCGGAAACCUUUGAAAACCGCACAAAACUCAAGGUCCCAUUUUUUUCUGUUCUUAUUUCAAUAUAUUUUUAACCUCUGAAAACUGGAACUUCCGAAUUCUGAAAACCGGACGAUUUUUGAAGCACCGUUUAUAUUUUAACACUAAAAAUGACUUCUGAAAACCGAACAGCAAAAUAUUUGCUGGAUUAAAAGUGUCACCUGAUAAUCCAGAAAUGCUGUCAACAUGUUCUUUUGUUUAUUUAUUAGCGGUGUGCAUUUAUUUUGACACGCUAUAUAAUCACAAUGAUCAUUUGAUGCAAAAGUAAGGAAGUAAUAAGCGAUUAUUUUCAUUUGUAUUCAAUUUAUGAAAGCGUGAUGAAUUAAAUAUUUUAUGUGUUAAAAACUUUCUUAAUGUUUGAACUAAAGAAAGAAAGAUGUUUUAAAUGAUUAGUUACAUCGAUUAAACUAUGCAUUAUCAACAUUAAUUAAAAUUUAAUGUUAGACUCGGGACUCCAAAGAUGGUAAAAUGUAAACAGAAAAUGUUUGCGUAAAUGCUAUUAUUAAAGUUCUGUUGUUUCUUUUUAUAUUUGUUAUUUAUGUAUUUAUUAUCCUUAAUGUUUGUAAAUAAAUAAUUAAUUAUCCAAUUGAUUAAUUAAUUAAUAAAUAUGAAAUUGUAAAGUUAAAAAGGAUAAAAAUCUCCUUCCUCCUACGUGUAAGAAAACAUAACUCUUGUGUACCACGUCCACAUUACCUAAAAACUUUCAAACUUCUGAAUUACGGAAACUUUCAAAAACCGAACUUUUAGGCUGGUCCGGAGGUCGUUCGGUUUUCAGAAGUUACACUGUAUAUGGAAAAACUUAGAAUCUUCAUGUCCGUAACCUGUAUGAUUCAAAUUUGGACUACUUGUAUAGUUUUGAGUGGCUAGAUGAACCUUGACAUGAGUUGACCUUGAUCUUGACCUAGUGACCUACUUUCACAUUUCUAUAGCUACAUCCUUCUGAUUUGGACCACAUGCACAGGUUUGUGUACCGAAACAAACUUUGGCCUUGUUAUUGACCUAGUGACCUACUUUCACAUUUUUGAAGGCUUCAAAUUCGGACCACAUGCAUAGCUUUGUGUUCCGAAAUGAAAUCUGACCUUGAUUUCGACCUAGUGACCUACUUUCACAUUUCUCAAGCUACAGCCUUCAAAUUUGAACCACAAGCAUAGUUUUGUGUAUCGAAAUGAACUUUGAUCUUGAGAUUGACCUAGUGACCUACUUCCACAUUUCUGAAGGUACAGGCUUCAAAUUUGGAACACAUGCCUAGUUUUGUGUUCUGAAAUAAAAUCUGACCUUGAUUUUGACCUAGUGACCUGCUUUCACAUUUCUCAAGACAAGCUACAGCCUUCAAAUUUGAACCACUUGCAUAGUUUUAUGUAUCGAAAUGAACUUUGAACUUGAAAUUGAUCUAGUGACCUACUUUAACAUUUCUCAAGCCACAGCUUUCAGAUGUGGACCACAUGCACAGUGUUUUGUACCCAAUGAAAUUUGACCUUGAUUUUCACCUUGAGCUACCGGUAGUCUUGAAAUUUGGAACAUUCAAAAAUGGCUCAGUGGUGGGCGCCAAGAUCACUCUGUGAUCUCUUGGUAGAACUUUUGUUAACAGUGAGCAUGCAAUUUCUGUUCCUUGUGCAAUUACUGAAUGCAUCAAGGGGGGCAUUUCAUGUUCAUCGAGCUCUUGUUUUAACCAAACUUGCACACAACUUGUAUCACCAUAAGAUCUCAGUUCCUUUCUUGAACUGGCCAGAUCCAAUUAUAGGUUCCAGAGCUAUGGCCCCUGAAAGGGCCAAAAUUAGCUAUUUUGACCUUGUCUGCACAAUAGCAGCUUCAUUUAUGAUUUGAUUUUAACCAAACUUGCACACAACUUAAGCUUGUAUCACCAUAAGAUCUUGGUUCCUUUUUUGAACUGGCCAGAUUCCAUUAUUGGUUCCAGAGUGAUGGCCCCUGAAAGGGCCAGAAUGAGCUAUUUUGACCUUCUCUGCACAAUAGCAGCUUCAUUUAUGAUUUGAAUUUAAUCAAACUUUCACAAAACUUGUGUCACCAUAAGAUCUCGGUGCCUGUCUUGAACUGGUCAGAACCCAUUAUGGGUUCCGGAGUUAUGGCUCCUGAAAGGGCAAAAAUUAGCUAUUUUGACCUUGUCUGCACAAUAGCAGCUUCAUUUAUGAUUUGUUUUAACCAAACUUGCACACAACUUGUAUUACCACAAGAUCUUGGUUCCUUUCUUGAACUGGCCAGAUUCCUUCAUGGUUUCCAGAGUUAUGGCCCCUUAAAGGUCCAAAAUUUGCUAUUUCGGCUUUUGCAGCUAUAUAGAGACUUCAUUUAUGGUUUGAUUUGAUACAAACUUACAAAAUAUCUUCAACAACAAUAAAUCUUGGAUUCCAUGACGAAUCUGUCGGAUCCAAUUGUAGGUUCCAGAGUUAUUUUAUAUCUGAUUACCUCCCCUGAUUGCAAUCAAAAUGGAUUUAUAUCAGUAAGUACUUAUAGGCCUUAUUUGAAAUUUCAUUAUUGUUUUUAGUUGGACUGAGACAAUCAGGGUAGAUAACUAUGGACUGAUUUUAUGUCAAAUUACCUCCCUUUAUUUCAAAUUAAAAUUGGUAUAUCUCCGUAACUAAUGAAGAUACUGAUCUGAAAUUUCAUUUAUGUCAACAGAUGGACUUGGACAAUCAGUGAAGAUACAUAUUGUCUGAAUUUAUGACAAAUUACCUCCUGUAUUUUUUAUCUCAAUGAAUACACCUUAACAGCUUCUAAUGAGAUUGGUUUGAAACGUUAUUUAUGUCUUCCAUGGUAAGAAAUAGUCAUAUUAGAUAACUCUUGAUUAAACAUUUAUCGAUAUGAAUACUUUACUAAUAUAUUGUUGUAUAGGCUUGUACUCUGUAUCUUCUACAUGCAUAAUUAUACCAAUGCAUGAUUACCUCCCCUAACUUUAAUAAAAAUGGAUUUAUCUCGGUAAAUAUUUAUAUAACUCAAUUGAAAUUUCAUUAUUGUGUUUACUUGGACUGAAGCAAUCAGGGUAGAUAGCUAUUGACUGAUUUUAUGUCAAAUUAACUCCUUUUGUUUCAAAUUAAAAUGGGUGUAUCUCAGUAACCAAUGAAGAUACUGAUUUGAAAUGUCAUUUAUGCCAUCAGAUGGACUCGGACAAUCAGGGUAGAUAACUUUUGACUGAAUUUACGACAAAUUACCUCCCUAUUAUGUAAACAAAUAUAUAUCAGCAGCAUCAAAUGAGAUUGGUUUUAAAUGUUAUUUAAGUCUUCCAGGGUAAGAAAUAGUCAUUUUAGUACAAAAAUGCAGCAUUUGAGCCUAGGACCCUCAAACUUGGUAUGGAAAUUGGCCCUGAUUAGGUCAAAAGGGACUGUUACAAGAAAACAUUUAUCAUGAUGAUAUUUAAUGUGUAUGCCUAUGUGCUCUAUGGCAAAACUUGAUCAUAUCAUUUUGAGCAAUGGUACUCAGGUGAGCGAUACAGGGCCAUCAUGGCCCUCUUGUUUUUUUUUGGUUUCUUAUACAUUAUUCCCCAUAUUGGGACAAGCACAUGCAUCAGUGAACAUCAUUUGGUUUUACCGAUUCUUUGUCUCAGAUUUGUUCAGAUUGGGACACUUGACCUGUUUUACAUUUUCAUACUAAACAAAAUUGUUUCUAUUCAUAAUGCAGUGUGUUAUACAUAAAUUCGAGGUCAACUAGUCAUGGUCAAAUGAGAAACUUGGGAUCAAUAUACAUUUUUUUAACACUUUCAGCCUAACUUUAUUACAUCACAAGGAUCAGGCCAAGAAAAGCAAGGUAGUUCUUCCAGAUUUUCAAUGUUUGGAAUUUUACUUUAUAUUUUUAGCUCACAAGAGCACAAAAUGCUCAAGGUAAGCUAUUGUGACCAGUCAUUGUCCGGCGUCCGGCGUGCGUCGUCUGUCAACAUUUGCCUUGUGAACACUGUAGAGGCCACAUUUGUGACCCAAUCUUUAUAAAACUUAGUCAGAAUGUUUGUCUUGAUGAUCCCUAGGUCAAGUUCGAAACUGGCUCAUGUGGGGUCAAAAACUAGGUCAGUAGGCAAGAUCAAAGGAAAAGUUUGUGAACACUCUAGAGGCCACAUUUGUGACUUAAUUAUUAUGAAACUUGGUCAGAAUGUUUGUCUUGAUGAUCUCUAGGUAAAGUUCGAAACUAGGUCAUGUGGGAUCAAAAACUAGGUCAGUAGGCCAGAUCAAAGGAAAAGCUUGUGAACACUGUAAAGGCCACAUUUUUGAUCCAAUCUUUAUGAAACUUGGUCAGAAUAUUAGUCUUGAUGAUCUGUAGGUCAAGUUCGAAACUGGGUCAUGUUGUUUUAAAAACUAUGUCAGUAGGCCAGAUCAAAGGAAAAGCUUGUGAACACUCUAGAGGCCACAUUUAUGGCCCAAUCUUUAUGAAUCUUGGUCAGAAUGUUUGUCUUGAUGAUCUCUAGGUCCAGUUAAAAACUGGGUUAUGUGGGGUCAAAAACUAGGUCAGUAGGCUAGAUCAAAGGAAAAGCUUGUGAACACUCCAGAGGCCACAUUAGUGACCCAAUCGUUAUGAAACUUUGUCAGAAUGUUAGUGUUGAUGAUCUCUAGGUCAGCUUAGAAGCUUAGAUCAUAUGGGGUCAAAAACUAGGUCAGUAGGCAAGAUCAAAGGAAAAGCUUGUGAACACUAUAGGUCACAGUUGUGAUCCAAUAUUUAUGAAACUUUGUCAGAAUGUUAGCCUUGAUGAUCUGUAGGUCAAUUUUGAAACUGGAUCAUGCGGGGUCAAAAUGUAGGUCAGUAGGCCAGAUCAAAGGAAAAGCUUGUGAACACUCUAAUGGCCAGUUGUGACUUAAUCCUUAUGAAACUUGGUCAGAAUGUUUGUCUUGAUGAUCUCUAGGUCAAGUUUAAAACUGAGUUAUGUGGGGUCAAAAACUAGGUCAGUAGGCCAGAUCAAAGGAAAAGCUUGUGAACACUCUAGAGGCUACCGGUACAUUUGUGACCCAAUCGUGAAACUUUGUCAAAAUGUUAGUGUUGAUGAUCUCAAGGUCAACUUCGAAACUAGGUCAUAUGGGGUCAAAAACUAGGUCAGUUGGUCAGAUCAAAGGAAAAGCUUGUGAACACUCUAUAGGUCACAGUUGUGACCCAAUAUUUAUGAAACUUUGUCAGAAUGUUAGCCUUGAUGAUCUGUAGGUCAGUUUUGAAACUGGAUCAUGCGGGGUCAAAAUGUAGGUCAGUAGGUUAGAUCAAAGGAAAAGCUUGUGAACACUAUAGGCCAGUUGUGACUUAAUCUUUAUGAAACUUGGUCAGAAUGUUUGUCUUGAUGAUCUCUAGGUCAAGUUUUAAUCUGGGUCAUUUAGGGUCAAAAACUAGGUCACAUGGUCAAAUCAAAGGAAAAAUUUGUGAACACUCUAAAGGCUACAGAUGUGAUUCAAUUUUUAUGAAACUUGGUCAGAAUGUUUGUUUUGAUGAUCUCUAGGUUAACUUCGAAACUGGCUCAUGUGUGGUAAAAAACUAGGUCAGUAGGCCAGAUCAACUGGUGAGCGAUAUAUAGGGCCAUCAUGGCCCUCUUGUUUUAUUAUCUUGUUAGAAUUAGGUAUGGCUUAAUCCUUAUAACAAAUGAUGUUGUUUAAUAUGUUCUUGCACAAUAAACUCUUUGUUAGUUCAGAGCUUAUUAGGAUAUCAUAGAUCUACAGACAUAAACCAGAGAAAAUCAUGAAAAGAUUUUAUAUGAUUUUAAAAUGUACAUGAAACUCAUGAGUACAUUUAUUAUAGGAACUAAGGUAAAUACUUUGUUUUGGGAUUUUGUAUAUUGUGGUAAUAAAUUUUUGUCAAGUA